rnacentral:lncRNA from 1 species
GGUUUCAAAAUUUUCACAGAACAAUUCUGACACUCUAUGCACCAAUUCACCAAACUGCUAGCAUUAUGAGCAAUGAGAAGAUGAGUGCCUGGAAGGAAACUAGGCUUGUAGGAGCAGAAUUUGGCAGAAAUGGGUAGGUGUCAGGUGGGGGCAUCAUGCAUUCAUCACCAUUAAAGUACACUUUGCGAGGAAAUGCCCAACCCUGCUUGAAUGAGAAUGUAUUCUUGUCCUUCUGAAGAAGUAACUCUGAUUGGAUAUUCCCUUUUGGUCCAGCUUCCAUUAGAAGAUCAUUGAAGUAUUUCAUGCCAUAGAACAUGCCAGUAUCAUCUGCAUAUACAAUGUAAAAUUGGUCAUUCUUGAAGUCAAUGAUUAUAUAAAAACUUAGGAAGAUAUUUUUGCUGAUACUCACUUAUGUUCUCAUAGGGUUGAAGAGGCUUGUAAUCAAAGCUGAAAACUUGGGUGAUGUUGUUAAGAUUUGGAUGCUGAACAGCAAGAGUCCACAAAGAGUAAUUCAACCUGUAAUUGAAAUUCGUUACGGCGAUCUUCACUCGCCAAUAGUCCUUAUAGUUGACCUUCACAUGCCAGUGGACCCUGAUUGGGCACAUAUGAUGAGUGCACUGCAGUAAUGGUUCAUUGUCUUUCUUUGGAGUAUGAACCCCCACCAUGCUGAGAAUCUUAGAGUCUCUCCUGCAUACCAGAACAACAGUGGUUAAAUAAUUGGAAAUUAUGUCUUAGAAUAUGUAAAGGUCAUAAUUUUUUUUGACUUACUUCACACAAUUCUUUUUGUUCUGGCAGCCACAGGCACAAGAGGGGCAUGGGGUAAUGGUUUCAUUGUAGAAGGAUGACAAAGACACACAACAACUUGGGUUUUUCCUUGCUAGAAAUUGUGAGUAUGUGCAGGUAACAUUCCAUGUCACUGCAUCAGAUAAAACAAAUCAGACUUCAGAGAAUUGUUUCAUGCGGAAGUUAGUGGGGAGAUUGAAAGGACAAAACUUAACUACAAUACUAUAAGCAUUGAUUGUGCUGUUGCGGUGUGGCCUAAUGAAAAACUUUUCCACCCACAUUUUUAAUAUUUUAUAAAUUUUAUUGAUAUGAUAACUCUCCUUAACUUUCCAUUUUUCAACCUACGUUACAAAGUUGCAAUUGGACAAUAGUAAAAACAUGUAUAGAAAUGUAUCUAAGUUUUUUUUUUGAACAGAAAAUGUAUUUAAGUUUUGUUCAAAUUGAAAUUGUCAAGCCAUAGAACUUACUUAGUGCUUGAGUCUUGCGGCGCUUGUCGGGUGUAAGGAAAUUGGUGGAAGGAACAACCUUUGCAGGGCCACAAGUAUAGCCUGGUCCUGGAGCCAAGAGCGUGAAAUUCUUGGGGAGUUUCACUGUCUUGUUUGAGGUGCCAGCUUGUCCUACACUGAAUUGGACGGGUAUGUUUUUAGUUCAUGGUAAUGUAGUGAAAUGAAUGAUAGACUUCAUUAAUCGAAUAUGUAUGUGAGACAUCAAUUAUUCAGUAUGGCACUGCAAUAACAGCACCAAGAAUUCAUGAUUCAGACAAAAUAUACAUUUAUCACAUGUUUAGUGCAAAAAUUGCAGCCAUGAGUUUCACUCGGUGUUUCAAAGAAUGACUUUAAGUAUUCAUACCUAUUGUAAGUUACAUGGUUUCAAAAUUUUCACAGAACAAUUCUGACACUCUAUGCACCAAUUCACCAAACUGCUAGCAUUAUGAGCAAUGAGAAGAUGAGUGCCUGGAAGGAAACUAGGCUUGUAGGAGCAGAAUUUGGCAGAAAUGGGUAGGUGUCAGGUGGGGGCAUCAUGCAUUCAUCACCAUUAAAGUACACUUUGCGAGGAAAUGCCCAACCCUGCUUGAAUGAGAAUGUAUUCUUG